rnacentral:rRNA from 1 species
UAGGGAAUCUUCCACAAUGGACGCAAGUCUGAUGGAGCAACGCCGCGUGAGUGAAGAAGGUUUUCGGAUCGUAAAGCUCUGUUGUUGGUGAAGAAGGAUAGAGGCAGUAACUGGUCUUUAUUUGACGGUAAUCAACCAGAAAGUCACGGCUAACUACGUGCCAGCAGCCGCGGUAAUACGUAGGUGGCAAGCGUUGUCCGGAUUUAUUGGGCGUAAAGCGAGCGCAGGCGGAAUGAUAAGUCUGAUGUGAAAGCCCACGGCUCUACCGUGGAACUGCAUCGGAAACUGUCAUUCUUGAGUGCAGAAGAGGAGAGUGGAAUUCCAUGUGUAGCGGUGGAAUGCGUAGAUAUAUGGAAGAACACCAGUGGCGAAGGCGGCUCUCUGGUCUGCAACUGACGCUGAGGCUCGAAAGCAUGGGUAGCGAACAGG